rnacentral:precursor_RNA from 12 species
AACAACAUGAAGAUGUUGCUAGCUCCUUUCAGGCUGUGACUUGUGCAAGUUUUGUGAUAUAUGAUCAAAUUGCACUUGUCCCGGCCUGAAGGUACUAGUUUGACACAUGCUCAUCCCAU